GCAUCUACUCUUUCAAUCUCCCACUUGCACUAAAGCCAAUCGCCCUUAUAUUUCAUCCCCAUACAAUCGAGGUGGCGAUCGAACUGUUGUUGUGGUAGAGCUUUAGUGAACGGGUCUGCUAAGUUAUUCUUUGUGUCUACUCGUUCAAUGACUAUGUCUUGUCUCUCGACGAUCUCUCGAACAAGGUGGAAGCGUCUUAG
rnacentral:lncRNA from 1 species